GAUCUACCCGUCAACAAUUGGAUGCUGAAGACUGGCCUAUAAAGGAGCGGAUAGCACUUUCCAGAGCAAGGCUUUCCAUCUAUAAAGAGAUCUACCCAUCAAAAGUAGGCUUUCAAGUCUGGCCUGUGGUGAAUGAGGUUCAAGUACUCUCCAGUGAGCUCCAGUCUUCAAAACAUCUAGUGUCAACAAUAUGUCUGAGACCCACUAACCAUCAUACAGCCUGGAAUAAAGAACUACCUUAUCUGCAAACAGAGCCAGAGAUGAAGCUGUUCCCCGAAAUCAAAUGCAGAGGGAAUCAGCUCUACUGACAUCGCUGAAGGCUACAUAAAGGAGAGCAACUCUGAAAACAUCAGCAUCUAGUCAUCAGGACACCCUAGAUGUUCAUUGUAGAAAUCUUAGUAAAGAACAAUCCAAUAAUUUUUCUUAAAUUUUGAAAACUAUUCUAGAUGUGUCAGUAACAUGUUUUGAUGUUUUUCCAUUAUAAACAAACAGUUAACAUUUCUGUAUAUAAGUGCACCAUUGCAAGCAAGCACACAUUAUGCGUUUUUAUGCGCUACUUGGCGAUCUUAGGGCCUUGGUGGUGUUGCACUCGAAUUGUUUGGAAUCCGGAAGUACAAAGCAUGGGAAAUUUCAAACUUAAUUGCCAAAAGGGACUUGGACACAUGCACGUGGCAUGUGUGGUCUCAGCCCGG